UACGAAGGGGGCUAGCGUUGCUCGGAAUCACUGGGCGUAAAGGGUGCGUAGGCGGAUCUUUAAGUCAGGGGUGAAAUCCUGGAGCUCAACUCCAGAACUGCCUUUGAUACUGGCGAUCUCGAGUCCGGGAGAGGUGAGUGGAACUGCGAGUGUAGAGGUGAAAUUCGUAGAUAUUCGCAAGAACACCAGUGGCGAAGGCGGCUCACUGGCCCGGUACUGACGCUGAGGUGCGAAAGCGUGGGGAGCAAACAGG
rnacentral:rRNA from 1 species